AUCAUAUUGAGUUUCUAUAAACGGUUCCCGGAUAUGGGCUCAUGACAUCAAGGAAGUCUUGAUGUCCAAAAUUUAGAACACUGCAAUCUUCCACGUGCCGCCACAUGUGCUGCCACGUACGGUGGCUACUGCAAAUGUAACUCGAAAUUCUGACCAACUUCAAACAUCACAAAAUUUAAUAAGAUUGUAGAACCAAACAAGAGGAAGAAUCUUCAUUCCUUUUCCGAGGUCCAAUUUGGUCGGGAUCUGAACAUACUUGUGGACCACCGGAAACCCUAUAAAGAGUUCACAUCGAAUCAACGUCAAAUAAAACUCUGACGCCUUAAAAAAUGCUUGGUCUUGGGUUCAAGGGAAUUUCAUUGGUGGUGGUGGUUGACGGGGAAGCUUUCAGAAACAGUGGAUCGUUGUCGUUAAACUCACGGACUCAUCGAAGCUAUUCUUAAUGAAACAGGGAUGAAAUCAACUUAGGUUUAGGUGGAUAGUGAAGAGUAAGUGGCUUGGUGAUGAUUGCAGGUGGUGGCUUAAUGGGUUUCGCCAGAAAAUUUGACGAAUUUGCGUUGGAAAUUCACGCAGGGACUAGGUCAGAAACUAGUCAUAAAUGGGUAGAGGGGGGUCUAGGUCUGCUGGCUCUCUCCUCUAUCAUUGGUCUCCUUCCAAAUAAGUGGUCCCAAGUUACUAUUUAUAUCUAACUUCCAAUGCCCGUAACUUCAUUGUUAUAGCUCUGAUUCGCGAACGACUUUCGUCUACAUGAUUGUGGGAUUGACCUCUAUUUGAAAACACUAAGUAAGACCCCAAACGGUGUACAAAUGUUAAAUGAUUAAUUACUAAAAUUCAAACUUUGUCCCUAAAUAAUUAAAACUCUAAAAUUAACGAAAACAAAAAUAAAAUAAAAUUGCGUAAAAACAAAAUACAUAAAAUUAUACAGUGAAAACCGAGGACGAGAUUUCACACAUCAUGUCCGUGUGGAAAACACCCAUCUCAACGUCCAUCUAACGUACAUCAAAGUCCUUGCACCCAAGGAUCGGAGUUUAAGAAUGAGACGAGUUCCUUCCUUGGUCCACAAUCAUAUUUGAAAUAAGUCAAAUCAAAGUGCAACUCAAAUCACCAACUUCCUUUUACUCGAUUGGCCUUAGGCCGUGAGUUGGAACAUCCGCAACACCAACUUGAAAGAACAAGAGAUCUUGAAAUCCUUAGUUUUUGGCUGAGAUCAAUUUUGAGACGAGCAACUUAUCAUCGAGGUUUCUUAAAAAAAAAUAUUUCUAUCAAGAAAGACUUUGUAGUUAUAAUUAAUGGUGAUCAACCUUUUGUUUUUAGUUUUAAACCUUUGGGAGGUUGGAUUUGAGAUGUUAAAAGGAGUAUCAGCAAUGGUGAAUUUGACAUGUUUGGUAGAGUAUGAUUAUUUUUACAUGUCGAAGAAGCAAAACCUCAACAUAAGAAAAUAAACACAACCUUAUUGAAUAAUCUAUAGUGACAAUAUCUCAAAGGUUGCUAUAUUCUAACAUAACAAUUGCACAAGAAAAGGUCCAAAUACAUACACACAAACAAAAAAAGGACCUUCAAAGCAACUAAAGAGCCCAAAACAAAGAAAACACCAAAGCAAACGCUAGCAGCUUUAAUCUGCUAUCACCCAAAAGCUGCUUGACAACCAACUGAAAUGAAUGUCUGCAGCACAAACCUAAAAACAAGUUGAACAAAGCCCCAAAACUAGAAGAAGACUGAGCCAAAACAGAACCCUAAAACAGAUCUUCAAACACCGCAGAGCACCACAUUGGCAACCAUUGGGAAAGAGCAACCCAAUAGCAACAAUGCCAUCGAAGGAAAUCCCAAGGAAGGAGAUUGUGUGAACACCCAAGUUCAGGGUGAAACACAAUAAAUAGUGGUGUAAAGAUGUAGAAGCUGACACACCCUCGACCUUAAUCGAAGCGUGUUGGCCAUCACGUGAGAGUGAGAUAGCCAUGUGUGUAGUACGGAAGUGAUAAUGAUGUGAAAUUGUGGAUAAAUAAAAACCACUAGCUAUUUUACCCUAGACUAGCAUAUAAGUACGAGUAAGGGUGUUUAGACUAUAGAUACACACACAACCAGAGCAUAGGUAUCGAAAUGCAGUCCAAAAGACAAAGUACUACUUAUACAGAAUAUAAAAUCAACCCUACAUUGAUGGAUAUCUGUCAGAACCGCCGAAGAGACCUUGUGAGCCACCAAUACAGAAGUCUACCUAGAACUUGGAGGGGUGCAAAACAGAAAAUGUGAGUGGGAAAAAAUAAAGCCUUUCAAAACCAUUUAUCUUUCCAAAAGUAAUAACCCCUCACCGUAAAACCCGUAUAAGUUCCUAGAAAAUAAAACUACAAUACGUAUAUAAGAACCAUGCUCGAGAAUAAUAAAACCAGAUGCAUGCCAAGUCAAUCAUGUCAAUCAUGAAUAAGUAAGCCAGGUGAAAUGAACUAAUAUAAAGAAACAUAUCAGGCAGAGUCGCCUAACGUGACAUGUACAGCUAAAUCUAUAGCUCAACAAUCAAAUCAAAUUUUGCACAUGAGUCAGAACCACUGAAUGUGGUAUGUACGACAUGCUAGGUCUAAAUAAAUACGCUUAAGUGCUACGAUCACGUGAAGGCUGUGCGAAGUAUCUCAAGUCACCUACGAGUCGGAACCACCUAAGGUGGUUGGUACGACAGGCUGGCACCUGCCUUGGAUCCAAGGUAAGCGUGUUGUACGGGAGGUGAAUGAUCACGUGAAGGCUAGGCCCUGACCUUGGGCGGAGCACUAACACCGGGGUGUAGGAUAUUAAUCACUAAAUGUAACUCAUUAUAACCAUACAUGCUACCAUCACAACCAUCAAUAUAUACUCACCUGAAGCUUACCUAAGCGUCCACAGCAUCAAGCAGUACUAUGCACAACUAUACUAAUGCAUAUUCUAAUAUGUAAUGCAUACGACAUGGCAUUUAAACCAUAAAAACCAUUUAAACAGUCUCUGGGAAAACAUAAGGCAUAUAUAUGCAUAUAUAUAAAACAAAAGCCCACUCACUGGUAUGUAGUUGGGUCGUAACCCCCAAGUUUCGCUUGGCUGCGCUUGUCCUCUAGAAAAGUCUCACCUAUAUGUGAAACAACUAUUUUAACGUUAAUUUUAAGCACAUAACCAUCAUUGUGUAAUAACUUUUCAUACGUUGCUCAUUUGGGGUAUUU
rnacentral:lncRNA from 1 species